rnacentral:rRNA from 1 species
AGCGAACGCUGGCGGCAGGCCUAACACAUGCAAGUCGAACGAACCCUUCGGGGUUAGUGGCGGACGGGUGAGUAACACGUGGGAACGUGCCUUUAGGUUCGGAAUAACUCAGGGAAACUUGUGCUAAUACCGAAUGUGCCCUUCGGGGGAAAGAUUUAUCGCCUUUAGAGCGGCCCGCGUCUGAUUAGCUAGUUGGUGAGGUAAAGGCUCACCGAGGCUACGAUCAGUAGCUGGUCUGAGAGGAUGACCAGCCACAUUGGGACUGAGACACGGCCCAAACUCCUACGGGAGGCAGCAGUGGGGAAUCUUGCGCAAUGGGCGAAAGCCUGACGCAGCCAUGCCGCGUGGAUGAUGAAGGUCUUAGGAUUGUAAAAUCCUUUCACCGGUGAAGAUAAUGACUGUAGCCGGAGAAGAAGCCCCGGCUAACUUCGUGCCAGCCGCCGCUGUAAAAC